rnacentral:rRNA from 1 species
CCCAGACUCCUACGGGAGGCAGCAGUGGGGAAUAUUGGGCAAUGGAGGAAACUCUGACCCAGCAAUGCCGCGUGAAUGAAGAAGGUCUUCGGAUUGUAAAGUUCUUUAGUCAGGGAAGAAGUCAAUGACGGUACCUGAAGAAUAAGCUCCGGCUAACUACGUGCCAGCAGCCGCGGUAAUACGUAGGUGGCAAGCGUUGUCCGGAUUUACUGGGUGUAAAGGGCGUGUAGCCGGGCCGGCAAGUCAGAUGUGAAAUCCCAAGGCUCAACCUUGGAACUGCAUUUGAAACUGUUGGUCUUGAGUAUCGGAGAGGCAGGCGGAAUUCCUAGUGUAGCGGUGAAAUGCGUAGAUAUUAGGAGGAACACCAGUGGCGAAGGCGGCCUGCUGGACGACAACUGACGGUGAGGCGCGAAAGCGUGGGGAGCAAACAGGAUUAGAUACCCGAGUAAU